UACGUAGGGUGCGAGCGUUAAUCGGAAUUACUGGGCGUAAAGCGUGCGCAGGCGGUUCGUUAAGUCAGAUGUGAAAGCCCCGGGCUCAACCUGGGAACUGCAUUUGAAACUGGCGGGCUUGAGUAUGGCAGAGGGGGGUGGAAUUCCUGGUGUAGCGGUGAAAUGCGCAGAUAUCAGGAGGAACACCAAUGGCGAAGGCAGCACUCUGGGACGUGACUGACGCUGAGACGCGAAAGCGUGGGGAGCAAACAGG
rnacentral:rRNA from 1 species